rnacentral:rRNA from 1 species
AACGAACGCUGGCGGCGUGCCUAACACAUGCAGGUCGAGCGCGAAAAGGGCAACCUGAGUAGAGCGGCGCACGGGUGCGUAACACGUGGGUAAUCUGCCUUGAAGUCGAGGAUAACCUUCCGAAAGGUUGGCUAAUACUCGGUAAGCUUACGGCGUCCUUGGACGCUGUGGGAAAAGUAGGCCUCUGUUUACAAGCUUACGCUUCGAGAUGAGCCCGCGGCCCAUCAGCUAGUUGGCGGGGUAACGGCCCACCAAGGCUACGACGGGUAGCUGGUCUGAGAGGACGAUCAGCCACACUGGAACUGAGACACGGUCCAGACUCCUACGGGAGGCAGCAGUGGGGAAUUUUCCACAAUGGGCGAAAGCCUGAUGGAGCAACGCCGCGUGUGUGAUGAAGGUUUUCGGAUCGUAAAGCACUUUCGACCGGGACGAAAAACCUCUGGCUAACAUCCAGGGGCCUGACGGUACCGGGAGAAGAAGCACCGGCUAACUCUGUGCCAGCAGCCGCCGUAAUAC